rnacentral:rRNA from 1 species
AACCCGCCUGCAUGAAGCCGGAAUCGCUAGUAAUCGCAGAUCAGAAUGCUGCGGUGAAUACGUUCCCGGGUCUUGUACACACCGCCCGUCACACCAUGGGAGUCGAUAACGCCCGAAGUCAGUGACCCAACCGAGAGGAGGGAGCUGCCGAAGGCGGGAUGGAUAACUGGGGUGAAGUCGUAACAAGGUAAC